rnacentral:rRNA from 1 species
AUGUUGGCUGAAUUUGACCCAGUUAUAAAAGAGCAUGUUGACCGCAUCACCAAUGAUAAAAUUUGUGAUCAUUAUCUUGGUCCCUCAAGAUAGAAUGAGUUAAUCAAUUUGCUCGCUGCUACAAUCAAGCGGAAAAUCAUUGAGAAGGUAAAAGAAGCAAAGUACUUCUCAAUUAUACUUGACUGUACUCCUGAUGCAAGCCACCAAGAACAAAUGUCUUUGAUAAUUAGGUAUGUUGAUGCAUCUUCAUAUUCUUUUUGCAUUGAAGAAUCCUUCUUAGGUUUUUUGGAUGUGAAUGAUACCAGCGGGCUAGGAUUGUUUGAUGUUCUACAGAAGGAAUUGAUGAGUCUUGACCUUGAUAUGGACAAUGUGAGAGGCCAGGGAUAUGAUAAUAGGUCGAAUAUGAAAGGGAAUAAAAUAAAGGAGUACAAAAAAAGUAUUGGAAACAAACUGAAGAGCUUUAUAUUCAGCUUAUGGUUGCCAUAG